rnacentral:rRNA from 1 species
AGAAUCAACGCUGGCGGCGUGCCUAACACAUGCAAGUCGAACGAGAAAGUGGAGCAAUCCAUGAGUAAAGUGGCGCACGGGUGAGUAACACGUGACUAACCUACCUUUUAGUGGGGGAUAACCUAGGGAAACCUGGGCUAAUACCGCAUAAUACCUACGGGUCAAAGCAGCAAUGCGCUGGAAGAGGGGGUCGCGGUCGAUUAGUUAGUUGGCAGGGUAAUGGCCUACCAAGACUGUGAUCGAUAUCCGGCCUGAGAGGGCGCACGGACACACUGGAACUGAAACACGGUCCAGACUCCUACGGGAGGCAGCAGUGGGGAAUUUUGCGCAAUGGGGGAAACCCUGACGCAGUAACGCCGCGUGGAGGAUGAAGUCCCUUGGGACGUAAACUCCUUUCGAUCGGGACGAUAAUGACGGUACCGGAAGAAGAAGCCCCGGCUAACUUCGCGCCAGCAGCCGC